GGCUGAGUAGUCCAAGUGGCUACUGGCUAGGGUGUUCGACUCCCAACUGAAAGGUUCUGGGUUCAAACCCCAAUGUCAUCAGUCUA